UCUACGCCUCCUGAGGAUGCUGUGUAGCAAAGCAGUGAAAAAACAUGGGCUUGAAACUUAGGAAAAAAGGCCUUUAUAUAAUAACCAGAUUUUUUCAUAUGGUAGUUCUGUGAUUUGGCCAAUGAGAGUCGGAUAUCCAAACCUCAUUCGCCUCCCAUAGCCUGGAUGUGAGGCUUCUUAUACAAGGACUAUCUUGACACCCCGUGCUUCUGGGGGGAGCAGUUCUUGACAGACUUCCCACACCAAGAAAAAGAACCAAUUUACUUCAAAAAUGCAGUUGUUAGCACAUAAGCAAGUACUGAUCUUAUUUGAAGAUCAAAAAACCCCACAGGCUUCAUCAAAGAUGAGCUGCAUUCCCUCUGUGGGAUCUAGAAGGACGCAGAUAAAAAUUAAAGCCAAAUAUGGGCAAGGCUGGAAUAAAACCUGAUAAGACAGAAGGCGGGAGGAGAGGAGAGAAGCGAAGUGAAUUACAACUGAAAGGGGAGGCAAAGGUAAACAGAUGUACAAGAUAAACUCUUUGAAGUGGAACAUUUCCAGGCUGAAAAUUCUUUGCUUGGGGACUUAAA
rnacentral:antisense_RNA from 1 species